GCAGCAGUCCUGGGACAGAAACAGCCCCUCUGAUUCAAUAAGGCAAAAAGAAAAAUGUCUGGCCACUUCUCUAACUUCAACCUUGUACUCUAAAGACAGAUAAACUUAAGUUUUCAGACAUAAUUGCCUUUCAAUUUGACAGUGUAAUGCCUGGCCAAAAUGUGAAAUGACUGGCCAAAA